rnacentral:misc_RNA from 1 species
GGCCACUUUUUCCCGGCAAACCUUUUAUGCCUAACUUCACUGGAAUGAUCACUCACUUUCCGUAGAAAAAGUACAAGAAACGUGUUAGAGGUUAGGCUAGACUGCAAAACUGUAUAUGUCAUAAGGUGAUACUUUUUACUCUAUUUUUCAGACCUGAGGCUGUAUUUGGGAACAGAGUAUCUCAUAAAUCUUAAUCUUCUCCAGGUGAACCAAAAUAUCUUGCAGAACACCAAUCGAACUCAUAUUUAGUUUAUCUAUAAAUGGA